CCUACGGGUGGCAGCAGUGAGGAAUAUUGGUCAAUGGGCGUAAGCCUGAACCAGCCAAGUCGCGUGAGGGAUGAAGGUUCUAUGGAUCGUAAACCUCUUUUAUAAGGGAAUAAAGUGCGGGACGUGUCCCGCUUUGUAUGUACCUUAUGAUUAAGGAUCGGCUAACUCCGUGCCAGCAGCCGCGGUAAUACGGAGGAUCCGGGCGUUAUCCGGAUUUAUUGGGUUUAAAGGGUGCGUAGGCGGCCUUUUAAGUCAGCGGUGAAAGUCUGUGGCUCAACCAUGGAAUUGCCGUUGAAACUGGGAGGCUGGAGGAUGUUUGAGGCAGGCGGAAUGCGUGGUGUAGCGGUGAAAUGCUUAGAUAUCACGCAGAACCCCGAUUGCGAAGGCAGCCUGCCAAGCCAUGACUGACGCUGAUGCACGAAAGCGUGGGGAUCAAACAGGAUUAGAUACCCGUGUAGUC
rnacentral:rRNA from 1 species